UAAUUACUAUCCAAUCAUUCAUACUAAUUAUUACUACAGAACAUGUAGAGUUCUGUCAUCGGUGUUAAUCGUGUAGGUAAGUAUUCGUAAAAUAAAAGGCUAUAUUUUUCAUUCUCUGCUAUCAGUCGAAUACCUACUCGACUAUUUUGUU